rnacentral:rRNA from 1 species
CCUUAGUAGCGGCGAGUGAAGCGGCAAAAGCUCAAAUUUGAAAUCUGGCUCUUUCAGAGUCCGAGUUGUAAUUUGAAGAAGGUAUCUUUGGGCCUGGCUCUUGUCUAUGUUUCUUGGAACAGAACGUCACAGAGGGUGAGAAUCCCGUGCGAUGAGAUGACCCAGGUCCGUGUAAAGUUCCUUCGACGAGUCGAGUUGUUUGGGAAUGCAGCUCUAAGUGGGUGGUAAAUUCCAUCUAAAGCUAAAUAUUGGCGAGAGACCGAUAGCGAACAAGUACAGUGAUGGAAAGAUGAAAAGAACUUUGAAAAGAGAGUGAAAAAGUACGUGAAAUUGUUGAAAGGGAAGGGCUUGAGAUCAGACUUGGCAUUUUGCAUGUUGCUUCUUCGGGGGCGGCCUCUGCGGUUUGUCGGGCCAGCAUCAGUUUGGGCGGCAGGACAAUCGCGUGGGAAUGUGGCACGGCCUCGGCUGUGUGUUAUAGCCCGCGUGGAUACUGCCAGCCUAGACUGAGGACUGCGGUUUAUACCUAGGAUGUUGGCAUAAUGAUCUUAAGUCGCCCGUCUUGACCACAG